AGACCGGAGACUGUUCCUCCUCAUGGAUAAGCCUAUAGCUUGGUGUCAAAUCUGUUUCAUUCAGAGACCUCUUAACAAUCUGUUUAUUCGAGUCCUUUACAAGAACCUCUUGCAAGAUUCGUCCCUUGAAGGAAUCAUCUUCUUCCGCGUUUUCUUGAAUCUUUUGAUUACCAUGAAGAUAAGGAUCUUCUUUCAGGUUCUCAACCUUAAUCUCAAGAUGAUUCGCCUCGUCGUCUUCAAUCUUUGGAUUACGUCGAAGAAGAUGGUGAUCAUCUUCUCGAAUUUCACCUUCUUCAAUGUCGCUAACUUCACCUUCUUCUUUUUGAGACUUAUUGCCGCAGAGAAAGUCUGUGAAGCGUCGAUGAAGAAACUCGUUUUUCGCGAACAGACGAAGAAGAGAUUUAAUGACUUCGCUCUUUUCGAUUCUGCGGUGCCUAAAGUCUCUCAACAAGGAUGUGGUCUUCUGCAAAUCCUGUGGGUUUAAUCUCUCUUUGAAGAUACUCCAUAACUCAAGCACGUUCUGCUUCACCAUCGCUUCUCAAUCGCCUUCAAGUUUCUUUUUUUUUUUUUUCCUUUUUUUCUUCCUUGUUACACACGCGACUCCUUUUUUAUUAACGUUAUAUAGUUUUAAAUUAACCAAUAUAAUUCAGACGUCGAGAAAAAAAAUUCUUGAAACUAACCCUAAAAUUGUUUAAAGUCCGGUUCGGUAACUGAACGCUAGACGCUAGCGAUUGGUAUUAUAAACUGAACCGGAGCUGCAGUAAAUCUUAAUUUCCUGGGUCUGAUUGACUAAAAGUUUAAUUAGGGGGCUUAAUGUUAAGAGAACUAAACUCUAGGAGCGGUUUUUUUAAAG
rnacentral:lncRNA from 1 species